UACCGAGGUCUCAAGCGUUGUUCGGAUUCAUUGGGCGUAAAGGGUGCGUAGGUGGCGUGGUAAGUCGGGUGUGAAAUUUCGGAGCUUAACUCCGAAACUGCAUUCGAUACUGCCGUGCUUGAGGACUGGAGAGGAGACUGGAAUUUACGGUGUAGCAGUGAAAUGCGUAGAGAUCGUAAGGAAGACCAGUGGCGAAGGCGGGUCUCUGGACAGUUCCUGACACUGAGGCACGAAGGCCAGGGGAGCAAACGGG
rnacentral:rRNA from 1 species